ACUUUCUUUUUAUUUUUCUCCUUCUCUUUCUCUCUCCUUAAUUCCUCCUCCCUCUCCUUUCUACGCAGCCCACCACCCCACCUCCUUAUAUGCUCAACGCCCGCACGCCACCGCCGUUUCCGACCAGCAGUCGAAAAUCUCAACCAGACGCCAUCGCCGUUUUCGACAAGCUCAGAUUACGAGUGCUGGAUCUCAACAGGGAGAGGCAAUGGAAAUUUUGAGGAAGAAAAGAGAUAAGUUCUCUGGUUUUUCCUAUGAGGAAACUGUUCAGGUAAAAGGAAAGGGAGUUCUCAUACGUGGUUUAAGGCUUCCAUUCUCCUUCCGUUCCAUUGUUGAGAAGCUUUUUCUUUCUCUUCAAAUUCGUGCUACUUGUGGAAUUCCAGUCUCUUUGGCAGGUUGGUGUUGUGAGGAAAGAAGAUCUCUUCUUUAGAGUGUUAAACUACCGAGGAAAUUGAUGAGCACUUUGUUGCUAUUCAAGAAGAAGGAAGUGCCACUGCUAUAUUAUUUUCAUUCUUGAUCAAAAUUAAAUUGGUCUGGAUGCCACCUUUAUACCCAUCGGCCCUUGAAAGCAUAGAUGCUACUGAUGAUGGCACAGUUGAUCCUAAGGAGUAUGAAGCUAUGAAGCAUCAAGUUGCUCAGCUAACAAGAACACUUAAUUCCUCGGAGGCUAGGAUGUUGGGUAUGCAAGCCCAAAUUAAUAGUUUAUGAUGGAUAUGUUUAAAUGAAUAUGUAUAUUAUCUUUAAGGGUUUGAAUGUAGUUUUAGUUCGAAUUAGAAGUACUUUUAAGUUUAUAAUGUUUAAGUGUUUGAAUGAUGUUUAUGAUGUUUAAGUGUUUGAAUGAUGUUUAUGAUGUUUAAGUGUUUGAAUGUAGUUUAUGAUGUUUAAGUGUUUGAAUGUAGUUUUAAUUUUAAGUACUUUGAGGUUGAAUUUGAUUGUUUAUAAGUGUUUGAAUGGACAAUGUUUAAGUGUUCAAGUGUUUGAACAUUGUUUA